UUUGUAUACGUUCAUGGUUUAAGGUUUCGUAUUUCAUAUAGUUAGGGUUUAGGGUUUAUCGUUUAUGUUGCUAGCGAAAUUUAUCAUAGAUGCUAUUAUUUCGUUUAGAUUUUAGAAUACAUUAUGAAUUUUGGUUGUUUGGUGAACACGUUUUAUUUGAAAUUCUGUUUUGAUAUCGUUUCCAAUUAUGACAUUUAUACAAUAUAUUAAAAUUAUGAAUUCACUUUCGAAAAUAUGAUAUCUCAACGCAUAUACCAUUAUUCAUUUAGCCAAUCAUUUUAAACAAUAAAUAUAGAAAACCAUUAUUCUCGAUUAUGUUAGUUACGAUACUAUAUUUAUUGUUAACCAUUUAAAAAGGAAACAACGAGAUACUUGGGUAUAUUCUUUGGUCUUUUAGGUUAAGCGGUCUAAUACUUAUAUAUACUUCCCCUCAUUUAUGAUCGAAGCGUUUCACUCUCGCUUCUCCUUCAAAAUGUCGAUUGUCGGAAGAAAUGUUCAGCACUACGUUUUGGUUAAUUUAUUAGAAGCAUCCAGUGAGACUCAGAAGAUUCGUGUGAAGAUCAUCAACAAAUGACUUUGCAUAACUCAUGAUCCUGAAACUCUAUUGAGUUAGUCCUUGGGGAUGCAUAUGUAAGUUUUUUUAUUUCAAGAUCUAUUACCUUCAUAAUAGUACAUAUAAAUUUAUUCACGACU
rnacentral:lncRNA from 1 species